rnacentral:rRNA from 1 species
CGUCCUAUUAGCUAGUUGGUGAGGUAAUGGCUCACCAAGGCUACGAUGGGUAGGGGUUCUUAGUGGAAGGUCCCCCACACUGGCACUGAGAUACGGGCCAGACUCCUACGGGAGGCAGCAGUAGGGAAUAUUGGUCAAUGGGCGCAAGCCUGAACCAGCCAUGCCGCGUGCAGGAUGAAGGCUCUCUGAGUUGUAAACUGCUUUUGUACAGGAGCAAAAAAAUCCCUGCGGGGGUUCUUGAGAGUACUGUAAGAAUAAGCACCGGCUAAUUCCGUGCCAGCAGCCGCGGUAAUACGGAAGGUGCAAGCGUUAUCCGGUUUUAUUGGGUUUAAAGGGUGCGUAGGCGGCUUAUUAAGUCAGUUGUGAAAUCCUAGUGCUUAACGCUAGAACUGCGAUUGAUACUAUU